GGACCACCGCAUGUUUUAACGAUAGUAAUACAUCUGCGACACCUUCCCCGUUCGUGUUGCUUGUUCUUGGCGCGCAUUCUCCUCUGGUGCAACCCCAACUGCAAGGACACUUAAAAAUUACAAACAAGGUUCCCGAGCAUGGGCUGAAGAGACCAGGUGGUAAAGGAUCCAAGUCCAGCGGCGGCAAUGGAAAACCAGCCAUAUCGUCGACCCAAAAACUUGCUCCAAACUCACUAACCACUUGAUUCUGUCCAGAAUUUUGAAUUUGUUGAGUUUGAUCGCCACCGAUGUCUUCUGCAGAAUUCUGCAAAUCUUGUAGACGGAGAGUGCCUUGUAGAGCACCCAAUGUCUCUUCGUUUUGAUUAUCUGUUAAGGUGUCUUCACUGGUUAGAACACCUAAAGAUCCGGUACAGAGACCAGAAGAAAUACUAUGGCUCACCUGUGCCAAGGGUGUACGGCGAUUCGGAGGUGUUCACCGUGUGGUGAUUCUGCAGAAACUCCAUCUCUGCGAAAUUUCUGCUCGUAACCGCCCUUAGAGACAACCCCUUUCCCCGCCUCGAUAAAAUACGCGGACGGAUUGCCUCCUCUCUGUAGAGAUGUGGUCCAGCCCCUCUGGUCUCCCUAGCAACCGCACAUUGCUCCAACUUGAAUGUUGAAUAAGAUAAUAAAAUUUGGAAAAUUAUAUAGUCUGAUUUUGAAGCACAAAGAAGAAGACAUAAUCACACUUUGCACGUUUUCUCUCCCGUUAAACACACUUGGAUCAUUAAGAAGAAUCUAAAGAAAACGGAUUAAACUCACUUAGUAACGUAAGUUAACUUGAAUCACACCAAAUUUUGAAUUUUUAAACUGGAACUAAGAUAUUCUUGAAAUUUCUCUUGAACUUAGGUCAAUUGUUGAGGCAAGAGAAGAGGAAAUUUUAAGGGAUGGCAUCGUAUGCCACUGUCAUGCUGGCACGAUGGCUUGUCAAUGUGUCUUAGCUAACUAGAGAUCUACCACCUACUAUCACCCACUCUCACCCCUUACUCACUGACUACUGCUUCGACCCCACUCCACUACGGGCCGGCCUUUUCGUCGCUCUCUUUUUUCCUUCGUCGUAUUUGCCUUGUUCCACGCACACAUCAUCCUCCUCUUCCACAUGUGCUUACCCCUACCUUAAAUAACGUUAACCUUCCAUGCUUCCACCGUAAGGUGUUUGCUAAAGAGAUUUGCAAGAUUUCAAUUUUGCCUAAAAUUUUGAAUGCGACCAUUUGCUUUCGAUUAUUUUUAAUGGUAUAAUGGAAUAAUAUCGGAGUUGGUGAAAAUUAACCCGUUCAGAGCGAUUUAACAGUGAUUUAAUAGAGAGAAAAGCGAUGGUAAUUCAAAUUUUACAUUUUAAAUAUUGCUAUAUGAUCAGUGAAUAAAUAAGUUAAUCUUUUCUUUAACUUUAUAUAAUACGUUUUACGCGUUAUGGUAUUCAGAAAUUAUAAUUUAUUUCACUUAAAAUUUAUUUCAGAUGAUUUUGUACAGUUUAGUUUGUUUAUAGCAAUUAUGAAUUCUAUAUAGAUUUAUAAAAUUUAUUUUAAUACAAGUUUAUAUUUUACAUAAUCUAUCUAUGGCAAUAUUUUUUCUAGAAUAAUACAAAGACUAUAAUAAUACACGAUUUUAAUAAAAUAGUUUUCUAACGUUCAGAAGAAUAUUCAAUUAAAAAUAUUAAAACUUGAAACGUAGACUUAAAUCUAUAAUUAAUUCUUCAAAAGAACAAAUACAUAAAAUCCAUGUAAGAUCUUGAUUAGAUGCUUAUCAUGUAUUUAUAUACAACAUGCUUAAACAUUUAUUAUAAAAAAAUAAAUCCACCUUCAAAACUAGUUAAAACAAUAAUCAAAAAAAUCAUUGGAACACCGAUAUUUUCAAUAAUACAGAAUAUGGAUGUAAAAGAGACCAGAAAUGGAUCCAGAAAUCACAUCCAUUCACCGCAAGGAUCAAAAGAAGGGGAAAAAGAAAAUCAUCCAUUCAAAACAUAUCACACUCCCCGCUCGUAUCUAUUACAAUGUAUAAAAGGAUGCAGCAUAGUUUGGAAGGAAUGGCGGAUCAGGAGGACGCAAGAGAACGGUUUGAACGAUAUAUAUCCAUGUCCACGGGCGUGUAAGACUCGAGACGUUGGGAUACACGGGUUGGCCGUCGUCGAUGCCGACGACACGAGAUACUAAUCGUUCAUUCGGCGAUCGGUGAUCGGGGGCCUUCUUCGAGUCUGGCUCACCGAUAUCCCCCGUGUUGCCAGGGCGGGACGGGGAAGUAGGAUAUUAUUUUCUUCAGAUACCAUUACCACGCCGAUCAUGGUGGUCCUGCCUUGCAGACGAGUGGCCCCGAUACCCUCGAGAUCACUGGCUUGUAAUGCCUUCCCUUUCGUGGAUUAUUGACCAGUGAACGGUGAGCCCGGCUGCGAAACACUCCAACGCUACCUAUUCCACUUGCGACCCUCAACCACCCUUUUCGAACGGCCUCGCGCUCUCCUCCUCACUCCUCCUGACUGGAAAUGCCUCUUCCCAUUUGUUGCGUUUCCUCUUGUGCUGGAAUUUUUCCAUGGCAAACGGUAAGCUUAAGUUCUUCGUGAUUCUCUGCAGUAAGUACCCAUGGUUUUCCUAUGGUUGCUAAAAAUAUCACAUUAUAUUACUCAUUGAAAAAGAUAGGAUUCUAGAGAAAACGAAUUUGAACGAUUUUGAAUCGUUGUGAGAAUAUAAAAGUAUUUGUAAAUUUUCAUCAGUUGCAAGAAGUCAAAGUCGUUCCUCGAAUAGUAUGAUUUUAUAUGAAGAGUAUCUAUUUUUUAUAAUUGAAUUGUGUUAGAAAUAAUUAUAUAAUAUACUGUCUACUUAAAAAUAAAUAAUGAGAACAAUAAAGUAAAUUAUAUAAUGAAUAACAAGUUAGAUCUCGUUAUACUAUGUUUUAAUUAAA